rnacentral:misc_RNA from 1 species
UAAUAAGUGUUUUAUGGCACUUUUUAAAUCCAUAUCCACCUUGUGUGCAAUGUCAGUCGAUCUUCUUCAUGGAGAUCGACCAAACAUCAACCUUUAUCUUUUAACUCUUUGUCUGAAAAAUAUAUUUAUUGAAUAAACAAUUCAAAAUA